GCAAGUCACAUGACUAGGAGCUAGCAGCAACAAGGCCUCCAGAAACGUCUCACUUUGGCUGAGAACCUGGCAACUUGGGUAAAAGGGCUGUUAGGAUGAGAGGCUUAGACCCAUUUUAUUUAUUUAUUUAUAUUUGGUUGUUUGUUUGCUUCUGGCACCUUAGUUUCGGGUGGUCCUUGUGAUGGGGAAAUGGUAAGUGAGACGUGAAGAUUUACUUAGAGAGCAUGCACAUCCAUAGCGCCUGUACUCAUCCUUCGCCUAAACACUAUAAAAGAAGCUAGGAACCCCCUCCGGAGGCCAAGCAUACUGUUAUAAGUAGAAUGCCUUAAAAUCGUGGCGGAUUCGUUGACAUUGAAUAUGUUUCUGUUAAUUAACAUCACUUGGCAUACUCUAACUUUUAUCAUCGCACUUGGAAUAUUGUACUAGUUCUGGAUGCUGAAUCCAGGAAAAUAUAGGGUUAGGAACAUUCCAGGGAAAGCAGACUUCGAGCAAGUUAUGAAGGGUCCCUUCUCACCAUAUCUGGCUGACGGCGACCCAGAUGCCAUGUGAUGGUCAUUUGAAGACAGGACUGCUGGACAUCAGAAAAAAUAAAACAAUGGACUCAUCAGAGCAUCAAGGCGUGCAACAGGGAUCCAGAGGCUCUUCCUGGUAGAGGCUGACAAGAGCCCAUCUGUCAUUUCUAUUCUUAUCUCUCCAGACAGCAGUGGUAGAGCAGGUAACAACUGAUUGUGUCAACUAGAGUAAGAGAUGGCCAACUAAAUUGGAUCAGCAUAGUUCUGGAUGUGGCUGAAGAUUUGCUAGAAUUUACUGUGUUUGAGUGAUGCAACCAAUAGGCUUGCCACUUGAAUGGAAUAAAAAGAAAUUGGAGAAGGAAGGCUCCCUUCUGUUUCUCUGGAGAAGCUCCAGUCUUCACCUUCACAUUGGAUGUUGUCUCCUGGCUUCUGGCAUGGACUCUUCUGCCUUCUGGCGCAGACCCUUUAGCCUCCGGUGCAAAGCCUUUGGCCUCCUGAUACAGACUCGCACUGGACACAACAGUGAACUCCAGGCCUUUGACUGGAUCCUUCAGAUCUCCAGCAUGCAGCAGCCUUUUGCACUCUUCCACACCUGACUCUGUGGGCAGCCAUUGCAAGACAAUCUUGUAAAUUCUUAUAUUCUGUAUAUCUUUCAUCAAACCUGUUUUUCUAGUAAGCACUGACUGAUACACUCAUCGUCUCAUCCCCUUUCCAGACUCUGCUCUGCCUCCCAGCUUUUCAAAACCAGAAAGUCUCUCCAAGGAGUCACAUAAGUAAAUGAUUUUUCCAAGAUAAAAUUCUCAAGCAUCACUGUCUUCUUCAGCAGGUGUCUAUAAACUGAAAGAGACAGAGGCUUUUUCACUUAAGGCUCACUUGAGAUUCAUAUACUGCUCCCCCAUCCCCGAAGAGUAAUUGGCUCCAAGUAAGUAUGUGUGUUGUUUAUGUAGGUAUGUGUUUGAUGGAAGAAAAUUAGUGUAUUUAAUUUAAUCCUACACGACUCUUUUAUCCCAGCUUUUGAAAGAAAGGCACUUAAGUCUUAAGAAGGACAAAGACAGGGGAAAGGAUACUCUUAAAGUUGCACAAGUAGGCGGAUUAUCCUAGAUGAUGUCAUGGGCUUGAUUUAUAGACUAAUCUUCUUUCUUUGAUUCUUAGUAUUACGCUCUGCCAUUGUUACCAUAACAAAUCUACUCCCAAAAUGUAUUUAUCAUGUCUUCAUUCUUAAAUUCCUAGCUGUUGUCCGUUGUAAAAGUCUCUAUCACUUUGAUCAGGCUCGUCUCUAGGGUGCAUGGAGUCUCAGGAAAAAAGAAUUGUGGGUCCUCAUCUAUAUAAAUGAUUUGUUUAGAAAGGUAUGACAAAAUUCACAGGCCCACAUGAAGUAUGGUGAUUUAUCAGCAAAUCUAUAGAAUAAUGGGUAGUGAGGUAGUACUUACAUAAUUAUUUAUAGGACUUCAGUUGCACCUGAAAGGUGGCAUAAUAAGCAUUUGCUCCAGUCAUUUUCUGAGAAAGAGCGCUUAAUAGAUAACAUUUUAAAAGAUGUAUAUUAAUCAUGCCUUUAUUCAACUCAUGCUUGAUUAUUAAUUUGCCUAAGAAUAGAAUUGUGGAUAUAAUUUUAAAAAACUUCCUUUAGAAUUUUGAUGGUAUUUUUGUUAGUGAAUGUGUAGGCAAAGCCCUUUAACAAAAAACCAUCAAAAUGCAGAAACUUAAACAUCUGAUUAAUAGCUCCUGUAUUGUCACUAUUUCUUCUAAUCUUUAGCUCUCUGUCUUUUCUACUGCUUUCUUGGAGAUGUCCAUCUUUUCUAUUAAUGUUUUUUCUGUUAUGGAAUAGUCUGUGUCACGAUUUUUUGUUAGUUUCAGAAAACAUACUGAUGUUGUUUCUAGGAUGUUGAAUCUCUAAUAUUCCUGAACAUAGAAGUUAUAGUUUAAAAGUCUCCUAUUCCUGUACUAUCCCUGUUUCCUCUGAGUCCCUUGCUGUUUUAAAAUGUUUGGUGAGCCUCUUCAUAUUUAAGAGUGAAAUACUAUAAAGAAUGAGAAAGUAGGUUCAUUCAUAGGUAAAUGGGUACAUUUUGAGGAUAUACUCC